AAUAGAAUGGUCCUCUGUCAAACCUGAAAAAAAAUUAGCUCUGCAACAAGACACGUUAGGAUCUAUGCAGCUUAUUUUGACCCUGAAACUAGUGAAUUUGAUCAAACACAGAUGGACAAACUUACUCUUAUUCUUGAUCCUACUGAUGAGUUCGUUUGGACUGAUGAUAUGUGUAAUCAGGUUUACUCUUAUUUCCAAGAACUUGUGGAUCAUUACGAGGCUCCUAGCCAUCACAAUUUGCAAGAUGCAGCAUUCAAGCACUAAGACUACUCAACAAAUCAAAGUUUUCACUGAAGGUCGGCAUUCUAAAAAAAACAAA